AGCUUCAUGGCGCAGUGGAAGCGCGCCGGGCUCAUAACCCGGAGGCCACUCGAUCGAAACGAGUUGAAGCUA
rnacentral:tRNA from 1 species